AAUUCAUGGUGAGAGCACUUUCUAAGUUUAUGCUUAAAUCUUUCCCAAGAUUCACUUAAUGUCUCAUCUUCAAACUGUUGAAAAACAACAAUCUCAUUUCUAAAUCG